rnacentral:misc_RNA from 1 species
UUGCAGACGACGCCGACACAGAUCCAGGUCCAGGUCCAGUUCAUGGAGCAUGGUUACCACCUUGGUUUGCGGCACAAUAUGCUCAUUACGCGGAGGUUGUCGCAGGUCACUAGAAUAAACAAGGGAAACCUGCUGUGCAGAAUGUUUUGCAUAAGAGAAAAUGGUUGCCCUCAAGAAAAAUGUAGGACCUUAUGUAUAAAAGGUAUCAACAAGAUGUUAAUGGGAUAA